CUUGCUUGUUCAACUUUCUAACAUAAUGGAAAACUAGUUAUGAGCAUUUGUGAGAGAGGCGCGUGGAGUGGGUGUUGGUUUUCCUGUAAAUUACGACAUAGUCUAGGAAGUCGUUUAGAGCAGCCGCAGACAGCAAGUAAACGGCUUUUAUGACAUUUCGUAACAGUGUCAAAUAACACUUUUACUAACCAUAUUUAGUAUUGUUCCCAUAAUUAUGUCCUUUCCUCUUCCCGCUUACAUAUCUUCAUCUAAUUUCUAACCAAUUUUUCCUUUUCAGUUUCCUCUUAACUGAUUUUACUUUGCUGAUCCAUCAGGAGUUGCAAUUUUUUUUUUUUUUGUGGGAAUUUGUUUUGAAGGUUAAAGAUGAAGGAUUUUGCAGGGACACCGGGGACUUUGACUGGGCUAUUUCUAAGGAUUGCACAGUGUGUUUUUGCAGCUGGAUCAAUUGCUUCUAUGGCUACCACUGCCGCUUUCGUCAAUUCCACAGCUUUCUGGGUCAUGAAGGACAAUUUGCUUGAGCAUUGUCACCAUCAUUUUUAAUGUUCUUACGAACUAGUAGCAACAUUAGAAAGAUGGACUCUAGACUACGAAGCCAAACUGGUGAAGAUAGACAAUUUUUAGAAGCAAAGCAAUUUCAAUGAAGCACUAUCAAUUGACAAAUAAGACAAUAUCUGCAUUCUUGUUUGGACUUCAAUUGUUGAUAUAGCAGAGGAAUACAUUUGCAAAAAUGAUUCAGACUUCAUACCGUUUUAUGUGGACUGUCUGUAGCUGAAGCUACCUAAUUUCUUCAAUGGGUUUGCAAAUUAUCUGGAGCUUUGGGCUCGCCUUCAUUGAUGCAUAUGCCUUAAUAAGAAAGAAGGUCCUUCAUAAUCAUCUUAUAGUCAGCCUCUUUGUUGUAGGAGACUGGGUGACUGCUACAUUAUCUCUUGCUGCUGCUUCUGCUGCAGGCGGCGUCACGGUGCUAUAUUUUAAUGAUUUGGGACACUGCAGUUUUACGGAGGAAUGUCAAAAAUAUCAAAUGUCAGUUGCCUUGGCCUUCCUCAGCUGGAUUACAAUUGCAAUAUCAUCUCUAAUAAUGCUUUGGCUGUUAGCUGCAGGUUAGGCCUUUCCAUGUACAGCCUGUUGAUAUCUCAAAUCUCUUUGAAACUGAUCAGUCAAUCUUACGGAAA